rnacentral:misc_RNA from 1 species
ACAGUAAAGAAUCCACAGAUUUUCUGAAUUGCCUUCUCAACAUUCCCAGACAUGCACAAACAAUUCAUCAUCUGCAAAAAAAUGUCUAAGAUGCAUGCGCUAGCAUACAUUUCAUCGCUUUCACGAGCAGAUGCGUGGUGGCAGAGUGCUGUGAGGGCAGCAUCAUAUGCAGAUAACCGAUCAACAAGAUGCAUACGACUGUUGAUAUACAUAAGCCAAAGUCCGUAGGACCUGUCANNNNNNNNNNNNNAACAUGUCCUCCUUCGCAAUGGAUUUGAUGUUGCCGUAAUAAAUAAGCAGGUAAGUUAUCCACAGAAUUUCAGAUUUUGGAUCAGCCUCAAUAGCUCGUGAUAGUAUAGAAAGAGCCUUUUUCAUACCCUCUAGUUUAUUAACCUCCUGAUUGAGAAUAAGGAGGGCCUUCUCAAGGGAUUGCACAUCAUCGGGUAGCAUUUGGUUCAGAUGGUUCACU